rnacentral:rRNA from 1 species
UUGUAGCCUUUCUAUGGUAUAAAUUUAGUGGCAGACGGGUGAGUAAUGUAUAGGAAUCUACCUAGUAGUACGGAAUAAUUGUUGGAAACGACAACUAAUACCGUAUACGCCCUACGGGGGAAAAAUUUAUUGCUAUUAGAUGAGCCUAUAUUAGAUUAGCUAGUUGGUGGGGUAAUAGCCUACCAAGGUAAUGAUCUAUAGCUGAUCUGAGAGGAUGAUCAGCCACACUGGAACUGAGAUACGGUCCAGACUCCUACGGGAGGCAGCAGUGGGGAAUAUUGGACAAUGGGCGAAAGCCUGAUCCAGCCAUGCCGCAUGAGUGAAGAAGGCCUUUGGGUUGUAAAGCUCUUUUAGUGAGGAAGAUAAUGACGGUACUCACAGAAGAAGUCCUGGCUAACUCCGUGCCAGCAGCCGCGGUAAUACGGAGAGGGCUAGCGUUAUUCGGAAUUAUUGGGCGUAAAGGGCGCGUAGGCUGGUUAAUAAGUUAAAAGUGAAAUCCCGAGGCUUAACCUUGGAAUUGCUUUUAAAACUAUUAAUCUAGAGAUUGAAAGAGGAUAGGGGAAUUCCUGAUGUAGAGGUAAAAUUCGUAAAUAUUAGGAGGAACACCAGUGGCGAAGGCGUCUAUCUGGUUCAAAUCUGACGCUGAAGCGCGAAGGCGUGGGGAGCAAACAGGAUUAGAUACCCUGGUAGUCCACGCUGUAAACGAUGAAUGUUAAAUAUGGGGAGUUUACUUUCUGUAUUACAGCUAACGCGUUAAACAUUCCGCCUGGGGACUACGGUCGCAAGAUUAAAACUCAAAGGAAUUGACGGGGACCCGCACAAGCGGUGGAGCAUGUGGUUAAUUCGAU